UCUGAGAAGGAGUUUGCUAUUCCUCUUGA
rnacentral:piRNA from 1 species